AGCUCCAUUAGCGUAUAUUAAAGUUGUUGCAGUUAAAAAGCUCGUAGUUGGAUUUCGGUGUGGGCCAGUCGGUCGGCCGCAAGGCUUGUUCACUGGCUGGUCUGCUCUCUCAAUCUCAAAGACUGCACGUGCUCUUCACUGUAGUGUGUGUCAGGAUUUGGGACGUUUACUUUGAAAAAAUUAGAGUGUUCAAAGCAGGCUUUCGCUUGAAUACAUUAGCAUGGAAUAACAUGAUAGGACUCCGAUCCCAUUGUGUUGGUCUUCGGGACUGGAGUAAUGAUUAAGAGGGACAGUUGGGGGCAUUCGUAUUUCAUUGUCAGAGGUGAAAUUCUUGGAUUUAUGAAAGACGAACUUCUGCGAAAGCAUUUGCCAAGGAUGUUUUCAUUAAUCAAGAACGAAA
rnacentral:rRNA from 1 species